rnacentral:lncRNA from 1 species
GGUUUCACUGCGUCACCCUGGCUGGCUUGGCUGUCAGUGCUGGGAUUACAGGGACCAGAAACUAGAGAGCAGUAUCCAAAUAAGUUUAUCCAACGAGAUGAUACUGAACGGUUUUACAUUCUGAACACACUCUUCAACCUUCCAGAAACCUACCUGUUGGCCUGCCUAGUAGAUUUUUUUACUAAUUGUCCCAGAUAUACCAGUGAAUUUAGUGCUAGUGAGAGAUGCCACAUUGCCAGCCUGAGAGAUGGACAGCACCAGCAGCUCCAUGCAGGCUCUCACCUCCCACACGGCCCCUCUCCUUGCCAGUGUGCUGCAGCCAUGUUUGGAAGGGACCACUGACUGGGAUUGAAGACGGCCAGCAGAGGUGCUAAUUGUGACAACUGAGUGGGAGGUUUGUG